rnacentral:rRNA from 1 species
UACGAAGGGGGCUAGCGUUGCUCGGAAUCACUGGGCGUAAAGCGCACGUAGGCGGAUCUUUAAGUCAGGGGUGAAAUCCUGGAGCUCAACUCCAGAACUGCCCUUGAUACUGGGGAUCUUGAGUCCGGAAGAGGUGAGUGGAACUCCGAGUGUAGAGGUGAAAUUCGUAGAUAUUCGGAAGAACACCAGUGGCGAAGGCGGCUCACUGGUCCGGUACUGACGCUGAGGUGCGAAAGCUAGGGGAGCGAACGGG